AUUGAACGCUGGCGGCAGGCCUAACACAUGCAAGUCGAGCGGAUGAGGGGAGCUUGCUCCUGGAUUCAGCGGCGGACGGGUGAGUAAUGCCUAGGAAUCUGCCUGGUAGUGGGGGAUAACGUCCGGAAACGGGCGCUAAUACCGCAUACGUCCUGAGGGAGAAAGUGGGGGAUCUUCGGGCCCCACGCUAUCAGAUGAGCCUAGGUCGGAUUAGCUAGUUGGUGGGGUAAAGGCCUACCAAGGCGACGAUCCGUAACUGGUCUGAGAGGAUGAUCAGUCACACUGGAACUGAGACACGGUCCAGACUCCUACGGGAGGCAGCAGUGGGGAAUAUUGGACAAUGGGCGAAAGCCUGAUCCAGCCAUGCCGCGUGUGUGAAGAAGGUCUUCGGAUUGUAAAGCACUUUAAGUUGGGAGGAAGGGCAGUAAGUUAAUACCUUGCUGUUUUGACGUUACCAACAGAAUAAGCACCGGCUAACUUCGUG
rnacentral:rRNA from 1 species